rnacentral:rRNA from 1 species
GAGUUUGAUCCUGGCUCAGAUUGAACGCUGGCGGCAGGCCUAACACAUGCAAGUCGAGCGGAAACGACGGAGUGCUUGCACUCCGGGCGUCGAGCGGCGGACGGGUGAGUAACGCGUGGGAAUCUACCCUUUGGCGGGGGAUAGCCCGGGGAAACUCGGAUUAAUACCGCAUACGCCCUUUUGGGGAAAGACGGCCUCUGAUGCAAGCUGUCGCCGAAGGAUGAGCCCGCGUCAGAUUAGCUAGUUGGUGGGGUAAAGGCCUACCAAGGCCGCGAUCUGUAGCUGGUCUGAGAGGAUGAUCAGCCACAUCGGGACUGAGACACGGCCCGAACUCCUACGGGAGGCAGCAGUGGGGAAUCUUGGACAAUGGGGGCAACCCUGAUCCAGCCAUGCCGCGUGUGUGAAGAAGGCCUUCGGGUUGUAAAGCACUUUCAGCGAGGAGGAAAAGGCAGGUGUUAAUACCACUCUGUUUGACGGUACUCGC